GUGCAAAAGGCUGGUGGGGUCGUGGUUGCGUUAGGUUUCUGGAAUUCCCCCCUUUCCCCAUCCCCGGUCUUCCUUCUCGACACUGGAAGAAUUCACCCCGCAGAAGCACUUUUCCUUCAGGUUUUGAAUCUCCAGCCACAAGAGAAUCACUGGGAGGAAAGAAGAAGUGCCUGGUCUGGGGAUUAUUUUGACAGAGUCUGAACAAAAUUGGCGCUGAUCCAGUAAACACAGAGACAGAGCAUCUCUGCGUCAGGCAGUGUCCUAAGGAACAAAGAAAAUGAUCAAAGCUCAGAACUCAGUGACACCCAGCGACGUGGCUAUAAAGUUCACCUGGGAG